AGCCGGAAGCCAGAAGACCUGCCAGCCCUCGAGCAGGCGGGCGGAGCGUAGCCCAGCGUUGCAACACUCCCCUCUUCAGAGUCGCAGCCACCCAAGUAGUAUUUGAUUUGAAUUCCUGCUAUGCCAUUUUCCAGAAGUCAUGAAAUACUGUGUAAUAACCAACAUUUCAACGGGAUGAUAGUCUGAGCUGUUGAAAUUUACGAACUUGGUUUUUGGAGAUGGGAAAUCUCUGAAGGAUUUUGAACUCUAAAUAGGGUUUGCCGAGUGGAAUUCUAAGGAGGAGUUUAUCUUCAUGUCCUUGAACAGGAGGCCCAACUUAGUGAGGAGAUAUCCUUGGCCUUGCCUGGCAAGUUCUGCAGCCUCCAUCUCACCUGGACCACAUCUAGGACCCGGACUAGGGCACUGUUGCUGAAGCCUCUGCAUAGAACUUUCUAAAGAAAGCUGGGGAGGAAAUAGUCUGAAGUGCAAAAGAAGAAAAAACACAAAAUGAACCAGCACUUCCAAGG